rnacentral:rRNA from 1 species
AGAGUUUGAUCAUGGCUCAGAUUGAACGCUGGCGGCAUGCCUUACACAUGCAAGUCGAACGGCAGCACGGGUGCUUGCACCUGGUGGCGAGUGGCGAACGGGUGAGUAAUAUAUCGGAACGUACCUUAUCGUGGGGGAUAACGCAGCGAAAGCUGCGCUAAUACCGCAUACGCCCUGAGGGGGAAAGCGGGGGACCGUAAGGCCUCGCGCGAUUACAGCGGCCGAUAUCUGAUUAGCUUGUUGGUGGGGUAAAAGCCCACCAAGGCGACGAUCAGUAGCUGGUCUGAGAGGACGAUCAGCCACACUGGGACUGAGACACGGCCCAGACUCCUACGGGAGGCAGCAGUGGGGAAUUUUGGACAAUGGGGGCAACCCUGAUCCAGCAAUGCCGCGUGAGUGAAGAAGGCCUUCGGGUUGUAAAGCUCUUUUGUCAGGGAAGAAACAGCAGCUCUAACACAGACUGCGAAUGACGGUACCUGAAGAAUAAGCACCGGCUAACUACGUGCCAGCAGCCGCGGUAAUACGUAGGGUGCAAGCGUUAAUCGGAAUUACUGGGCGUAAAGCGUGCGCACGCGGUUAUACAAGACAGGCGUGAAAUCCCCGGGCUUAACCUGGGAAUGGCGCCUGUGACUGUAUGACUAGAGUGUGUCAGAGGGGGGUAGAAUUCCACGUGUAGCAGUGAAAUGCGUAGAUAUGUGGAGGAAUACCAAUGGCGAAGGCAGCCCCCUGGGAUAACACUGACGCUCGUGCACGAAAGCGUGUGGAGCAAACAGGAUUAGAUACCCUGGUAGUCCACGCCCUAAACGAUGCCGACUAGUUGUUGGGCAUUUACAUUCUCAGUAACGUAGCUAACGCGUGAAGUCGGCCGCCUGGGGAGUACGGUCGCAAGAUUAAAACUCAAAGGAAUUGACGGGGACCCGCACAAGCGGUGGAUGAUGUGGAUUAAUUCGAUGCAACGCGAAAAA